CAUUUUGAGUGUAAGGAGUAUAUCAGUAAUGACGAUAGGGGAUAUGUAACAAUUGGAUUUGACGGUGUAACAAUUAUAUAACAUUUUGCUAGGAUGUUUAAUUUUAGACUAAGCUCAACAUAUUGAGCUCUAUUUAACUGCCACGUAAGACAAUUAAGAGCACAAAAAAUUGACACGUAGGAAGGGGCUAUUUUUAAUUAUUACAAACUUGAGGUUCUAACUUUUUAAAUGAUUCACAAUUAAUAUAUAGGGGAUUUGUAUGUAUAUAUUAUAUAU
rnacentral:lncRNA from 1 species